UACGUAGGGGGCAAGCGUUGUCCGGAUUUAUUGGGCGUAAAGAGCGUGUAGGCGGCCGCACAGGUCCGUUGUGAAAACUGGAGGCUCAACCUUCAGACGUCGAUGGAAACCGUGCGGCUAGAGUCCGGAAGAGGAGAGUGGAAUUCCUGGUGUAGCGGUGAAAUGCGCAGAUAUCAGGAAGAACACCUAUGGCGAAGGCAGCUCUCUGGGACGGUACUGACGCUGAGACGCGAAAGCGUGGGGAGCGAACAGG
rnacentral:rRNA from 1 species